GAAAAUGUGGCAGAGGGAGAGACCCAAAAACAAUGAGACCAUGACAGAUCUAAUCCAGAUCUCUUUACAGCUUUGCUGCAUUUCCGAAUAUUCGCUGGUUCGAGAAUCUUCCACACUAUCGCCUAUUUAAUGCCACUUCCCCAGCCUAGCCGUGCCCUCAGCUGGGCGAUUGGCUACGCUGUCACCAUUUCUAUGGCAUACAGAGUUUUGCAGAACAUUUUAUAUUUGUAAAUGGCACACCCGACGAUUAACAAAUGAUCUAAAAUAUUUUCUUGCACAAUAUUUUUAUGGUGGAAUUUAGAAACCAAUUGUGAAUAUUUGACAUUCAGUAUAUUUGAAAAAGCUGAGAAUUCAAACUGUCUGUUAGAAGUCUGCAUACAGAAAAUAUGUAAUUUCUUUAUAGAGAAGUAAAUUCAAUAAACCUGUUCCACAUUUUCAUUGUGAGUCAGUCCUAUCAGCUUAUAAAUACAUGGCUUGAUAAGAUCCAGAUUGGUGGGAUGCAGGAAGCAGUAAAUCUG